GGUUGGGAAACACCACUACUCAAGGUCCAUGGUGGGGAAACACCACUACUCAAGGUCCAUGGUGGGGAAAUAACUCUACUCAAGGUCCAUGGUGGGGAAACAACUCAACCGAAGGUCCAUGGUGGGGAAACAACUCAACCGAAGGUCCAUGGUGGGGAAACAACUCAACCGAAG
rnacentral:misc_RNA from 1 species